rnacentral:lncRNA from 1 species
UACUUUUACGAGAUCGGCGCACAUUAAAUUUAUCAAAGGUAUUGUCAAAAUUAAUAAGUUUUGCUCCCUGCCAAGGUCUGCUUUUACGAGACCUAUUUUGGCAAAAAGCAUCUGUAAUCGACCUGCUGGGCGAUCUGCUUUUACGAGAUCGAAUACUCCCAUGUAUCAUUUUUUUGUCAAAUUUAUAAAAUUACGAGACCAAAGGUAUUGAAAGA